GACGAACGCUGGCGGCGUGCCUAAUGCAUGCAAGUCGCACGCAGGGUGCUUGCACUCUGAGUGGCGGACGGCUGAGGAACACGUGGGAACCUGCCCAUCCGUGGGGGACAACCCGGCGAAAGUCGGGCUAAUCCCGCAUACGCUUCUCUUCGGGAAGGAAAGCAGCAAUGUGCGGAUGGAGGGGCCCGCGGCCCAUCAGGUAGUUGGCGGGGUAACGGCCCACCAAGCCACUGACGGGUAGCUGGUCUGUGAGGAUAACCAGCCAGACUGGGACUGAGAGACGGCCCAGACUCCUACGGGAGGCAGCAGCAAGGAAUUUUCGGCAAUGGGCGCAAGCCUGACCGAGCAACGCCGCGUGGAGGACGACGGCCUUCGGGUUGUAAACUCCUUUUCGGGGGGAAGACAUCGACGGUACCCCCGGAAUCAGGCUCGGCUAACUCUGUGCCAGCAGCCGCGGUAAGACAGAGGAGCCAAGCGUUGUCCGGAGUGACUGGGCGUAAAGCGCACGCAGGUGGUGGCGCACGUGCGGUGUGAAAGCCGGCGGCUUAACUGCCGGAGGCCAUGGCAGACUGCGUCACUCGAGCGCGCGAGAGGUCCGUGGAAUUGCCGGUGUAGUGGUGAAAUGCGUAGAGAUCGGCAGGAACACCCAUGGGGAAACCAGCGGACUGGCGCGCGGCUGACACUGAGGUGCGACAGCGUGGGGAGCGAACGGGAUUAGAUACCCCGGUAGUCCACGCCGUAAACGAUGGACACUCGCCCUGUGCCGGUGUUAGAGCCGGUGCGGGGCCUAGCUAACGCGAGAAGUGUCCCGCCUGGGAACUACGAGCGCAAGCUUAAAACUCAAAGGAAUUGACGGGGGCCCGCACA
rnacentral:rRNA from 1 species